AAAGCUAUGUGAACCUGUAAGGAAUAUACACAUCGAGAUGUCUUCCUGGGUUCUCGCACCUUGUGCCACGAGUGCGGGCGCGAGGUGAAAUCCCCCAUCCAUAGGCUAAUUUUUAGUUACUUGAGAAAUUAAGGAAAAAAAAAAGAUCGAUGAAGUGAAAUUUUGGUAAAAUUGAUAAAAUGAUUGGUUUCAAAAUGAAAUUUAAUAAGAAACUAU
rnacentral:lncRNA from 1 species